ensembl:snRNA U6 U6 spliceosomal RNA
UUGCUUCAGCAGCACAUAUACUAAAAUUGGAACCAUACAGAGAAGGUUAGCAUGACCCCUGUGCGAGGAUCACACACAACUUGGUCAAGCCUUCCAUAUUCUU